rnacentral:rRNA from 1 species
GGGCCCGCACAAGCGGUGGAGUAUGUGGUUUAAUUCGAUGCAACGCGAAAAACCUUACCUACACUUGACAUACUUCGAAUUUUCUAGAGAUAGAUUAGUGCCUUAGGGAACGAAGAUACAGGUGCUGCAUGGCUGUCGUCAGCUCGUGUCGUGAGAUGUUGGGUUAAGUCCUAUAACGAGCGCAACCCUCACCCUUAUUUGCCAGCGGUUAGGCCGGGAACUAUAAGGGAACUGCCGGUAAUAAGCCGGAGGAAGGUGGGGACGACGUCAAGUCAUCAUGGCCCUUACGUGUAGGGCUACACACGUGCUACAAUGGGAGAUACAAACGGUUGCCAAAGCGCGAGCUGGAGCCAAUCCGAUAAAGUCUCUCGUAGUCCGAAUUGCAGUCUGGAACUCGACUGCAUGAAGCCGGAAUCGCUAGUAAUCGCGGAU